rnacentral:lncRNA from 1 species
GUUUUCUUUUCAAAAGCUUUUUAUGCUCUCUCUUCUCAAAAUCAUUUCCACUUUGCCAAAUGAUACUAUUUUUGAAUAACAGUAAGAGCAUUCUAGAAGUAAAUUAUGAUUCUAAAACUGGCUUCAUCAAAAUAGGAGCAGAUGAAAAAAAAUUUAAUGGGUCUAACUCAGAGGACCUGAGCCAAGCAGGAGAAGCAGAAAUCAACUAAACUUCUAGAACUGCAUUUCUCAAAGAAGACCACCUGCUUCAGAAUCUCUUGGACUGCUGGGCCAGAGUUCUAACCAACACCAGUGAGCCAGUGUCUGUCCAAUGGCAUGAAGCAAUGUAUUUUUCUAAGAAAUGGUCCUGCCACGAAAGGCCUCUGUAUUUGUUUGGCGAGAAAAAAAAGCUCAACCUCAGAAGAAGGGCAAGCACUGGGCUGGAAGAAGACUUCAAAGCUGUGCAUUCAACCUUCACAGUAAUUUACUUAACAAGCAUAGACUGAGCACCUCGUGAAUGCUCAAAGAUGAUGGCAAUGUAUUUCCA